AUGUUCACUUCAGCAGCAUAUAUACUAAAAUUGGAACAAUACAGAGAAAAUUAGCAUGGCCCAUGCGCAAGGGUGACACGCAAAUUCAUGAAGCAUUCUGUAUUUUU